rnacentral:rRNA from 1 species
UACGUAGGGGCAAGCGUUGUCCGGAAUCAUUGGGCGUAAAGAGCGCGUAGGCGGCCCUGUAAGUCCGCUGUGAAAGUCAAGGGCUCAACCCUUGGAUGCCGGUGGAUACUGCAGGGCUAGAGUCCGGAAGAGGCGAGUGGAAUUCCUGGUGUAGCGGUGAAAUGCGCAGAUAUCAGGAGGAACACCGAUGGCGAAGGCAGCUCGCUGGGACGGUACUGACGCUGAGGCGCGAAAGCGUGGGGAGCAAACAGG